rnacentral:rRNA from 1 species
UUAGCUAGUUGAGGGUAACGGCCACCAAGGCGAUGAUCAGUAGCCGGUCUGAGAGGAUGAACGGCCACAUUGGGACUGAGACACGGCCCAGACUCCUACGGGAGGCAGCAGUGGGGAAUCUUCCGCAAUGGACGAAAGUCUGACGGAGCAACGCCGCGUGAGUGAUGACGGCCUUCGGGUUGUAAAGCUCUGUUAAUCGGGACGAAAGGCCUUCUUGCGAAUAGUUAGAAGGAUUGACGGUACCGGAAUAGAAAGCCACGGCUAACUACGUGCCAGCAGCCGCGGUAAUACGUAGGUGGCAAGCGUUGUCCGGAAUUAUUGGGCGUAAAGCGCGCGCAGGCGGAUUGGUCAGUCUGUCUUAAAAGUUCGGGGCUUAACCCCGUGAUGGGAUGGAAACUGCCAAUCUAGAGUAUCGGAGAGGAAAGUGGAAUUCCUAGUGUAGCGGUGAAAUGCGUAGAUAUUAGGAAGAACACCAGUGGCGAAGGCGACUUUCUGGACGAAAACUGACGCUGAGGCGCGAAAGCCAGGGGAGCGAAC